rnacentral:rRNA from 1 species
CAGCAGCCGCGGUAAUACGUAGGUGGCAAGCGUUGUCCGGAAUUAUUGGGCGCAAAGGGCUCGCAGGCGGUUUCUUAAGUCUGAUGUGAAAGCCCCCGGCUCAACCGGGGAGGGUCAUUGGAAACUGGGAAACUUGAGUGCAGAAGAGGAGAGUGGAAUUCCACGUGUAGCGGUGAAAUGCGUAGAGAUGUGGAGGAACACCAGUGGCGAAGGCGACUCUCUGGUCUGUAACUGACGCUGAGGAGCGAAAGCGUGGGGAGCGAACAGGAUUAGAUACCCCAGUAGUCCCUGUCUCUUAUAC